UACGAAGGGGGCAAGCGUUGUUCGGAAUUACUGGGCGUAAAGGGUGCGUAGGCGGUGCGUUAAGUUAGAUGUGAAAGCCCUGGGCUCAACCCGGGAAUUGCAUUUGAUACUGGCGCGCUUGAAUCCAGGAGAGGUUGGUGGAAUUCCCAGUGUAGAGGUGAAAUUCGUAGAGAUUGGGGAAGAACACCGGGUGGCGAAGGCGGCCAACUGGACUGGUAUUGACGCUGAGGCACGAAAGCGUGGGGAGCAAACAGG
rnacentral:rRNA from 1 species